CCUACGGGUGGCUGCAGUGGGGAAUAUUGGGCAAUGGGCGAAAGCCUGACCCAGCAACGCCGCGUGAAGGAAGAAGGCUUUCGGGUUGUAAACCUCUUUUGACAGGGAAGAGGAAAAGACGGUACCUGUCGAAUAAGCCACGGCUAACUACGUGCCAGCAGCCGCGGUAAUACGUAGGUGGCAAGCGUUAUCCGGAUUUACUGGGUGUAAAGGGCGUGUAGCCGGGCAGACAAGUCAGAUGUGAAAUCCGGGGGCUCAACCCCCGGACUGCAUUUGAAACUGUUGGUCUGGAGUGUAGGAGAGGUAGGCGGAAUUCCUAGUGUAGCGGUGAAAUGCGUAGAUAUUAGGAGGAACACCAGUGGCGAAGGCGGCCUGCUGGACGACAACUGACGGUGAGGCGCGAAAGCGUGGGGAGCAAACAGGAUUAGAUACCCUGGUAGUC
rnacentral:rRNA from 1 species